rnacentral:rRNA from 1 species
UUCCGGUUGAUCCUGCCGGACCUGACUGCUAUCGGAUUGAUACUAAGCCAUGCGAGUCAUUGUAGCAAUACAAGGCAGACGGCUCAGUAACGCGUAGUCAACCUACCCUAUGGACAGGGAUAACCUCGGGAAACUGAGAAUAAUACCAGAUAGAACAUUAUGCCUGGAACGGUUUAUGUUUAAAAUAAUUUAUUGCCGUAGGAUGGGACUGCGGCCUAUCAGUUUGUUGGUGAGGUAAUGGCCCACCAAGACUAUUACAGGUACGGGCUCUGAGAGGAGUAGCCCGGAGAUGGGUACUGAGACACGGACCCAGGCCCUAUGGGGCGCAGCAGGCGAGAAAACUUUGCAAUGUGCGAAAGCACGACAAGGUUAAUCCGAGUGAUUUCUGCUAAAGGAAUCUUUUGUCAGUCCUAGAAACACUGUUGAAUAAGGGGUGGGCAAGUUCUGGUGUCAGCCGCCGCGGUAAAACCAGCACCUCAAGUGGUCAGGAUGAUUAUUGGGCCUAAAGCAUCCGUAGCCUGCUUUGUCAGUUUUCGGUUAAAUCCAUACGCUCAACGUAUGGGCUGCCGGAAAUACUGCAAAGCUAGGGAGUGGGAGAGGUAGACGGUACUCGGGAGGAAGGGGUAAAAUCCUUUGAUCUCUCGAUGACCACCUGUGGCGAAAGGCGGUCUACCAGAACACGUCCGACGGUGAGGGAUGAAAGCUGGGGGAGCAAACCGGAUUAGAUACCCGGGUAGUCCCAGCUGUAAACUAUGCAAACUCAGUGAUGCAUUGGCUUGAUGCUAAUGCGGUGUUGCAGGGAAGCCGUUAAGUUUGCCGCCUGGGAAGUACGUACGCAAGUAUGAAACUUAAAGGAAUUGGCGGGGGGAGCACCACAGGGGUGAGCCUGGCGAUCAAUUGGACUCACGCCGGU